rnacentral:lncRNA from 1 species
UCCUUUCCAUUUUUUUAAUUCCCUAGUACCCCAACCCAAAGUCAUUCCUCACUGGUAGCCGCCCAUGUGUUCCCUAUCUCCCAAAUUCUCUCUGAGAAAUCCUAGCCGCCUCCCUCUAUUUCCACCUUAGAGCCACCAGAAUCUGUAGCUUCCGAGGCCAUAUAAGUCCUAUAUCGGCCUCCUAUGACUCCUACAUGCUCAAUUAUCAUAGUUUCGGGUCCAGACGUUGAAGAAGCUUGGUCCAGACCUUGGGUGCUUUCAGUUUUAUUGCUAUCUCCGGUCAUCUCUGACCUUGCUACGGCCAUCCAUGGCUAUUGAAGCCUGCUCUUGGUUUCUCUUGCUUAGAUCAAUGACCUUCCAAGCCUUUCUCACCAUUGGGGUUCCUCUGAAACCCUAACCUUCGAGGUUCUUCUGAUUCUUCUAGAUCUGUUAUAGAUCUGUGUUUUCUCUAAGCUCCUAAACGUUUUCUCAUGGUUUCUUUCAGAACUCUACUUUUAGAACCUUUGUCUUUUUUGAUUUAGGGUUUUUGUUACUUUAUUUUUAAGCUCUUCUGAUUUUUUUAAACAUGUCUAAUGUGUUCUUCUACUAUGUUCAUAUGAAUUCCCCUAUUAUGUUUCGCAUGUUGUUCUUAUACUAUGUUUCUUAUUAGUUUCUCCUACUGAAAGAUGCAUGUUAAUUGCCUCAAUUCCUUCUGAGACCUCUGUACUUGUUUGGCUAGUAUUUUUUACCUGAUUUACUUAUUUUUGUCUCUACACUCGACUAAUGGAAAAAACCCUAGAAUUUGAGGGUUCAUCCAAGUUUUAGACCAUUGGCUAUGUGAUUUUCUUGUUCUUCAUCUCUGAACUCGCUUGAUUUCAAAACCCUAACUUCUUUGGACCUAUUUUGAGUUUCUGAAGUUGUUUCAUCUAUUGUUCAACGAAGUUUCAAAAUCUUUGUUUCAACCUUUGUUUCUUUAUAAGAUUCUAAUUCCCAACUAAACUCUUCUAAGGUCUUUAUACUGGACCCUUUGUAUGCUAUUUGAUACUCUCUCUUCUCCAUUACUGAAUUAUCCUGUGAUUACCAUGUUCCUAUUGUCUAUCACUUACUGAUUUUUGCAAUUGCAUGACACUUUUUCUUUGUCCUAAAUUCAGCCUAGCAUGCUUGUGAGCUUUUUAUAUGUGCUGAACUUCCCUCUAAAAUGGCUUUCAAAUUUUGAAUGAUUUCAGAGUUCCUUCGUGAAAGCCUGAUUGAUUUCUUUCCUUGUUUACUAAUUUUCUUGUUACUUGGUUUGAGUCGAAAAUCUUCCUUAGCUUUUCUGGCUUGAUUCAUACAUGGACCAAUAAAAUUACAAACCUCUGACUACUUGAUUUACUAUGUACUAAUUGAUUUUUACCUUAUUUUGUUUUAACCGUUUAUUUCAAAACUCUUCCCCUAAAUAAACUCUUAUGUAUUUACCCAUGAUUGCCUACCUUGCACAAGAUACUUAUUUGAUUUCUUUCCUUAAAUAAUUUUUUUACCGUUUAUAUUUGAAUUCCUUAAUUAACGGAAGUCUUGUAAUAAUUGAUUUAAAUUAUAUCCAGUUCCUUAAUUAUUUUCUUACCUGAUGUAUGUCUAUUUUUCACAUUAUAAAUACCUAAAUCUUUCAUUGACAAAACUCACGAAGACUCUUAGUUUUAUACAAACCUACACUCUUAGUUUUCUGAACUCUCACUCACAGUUAGAAACUAUUCUCUUUGUUACUUGUACAGUACAAUGGCCUGUUUUUCAAGUCCUGCUACUGCUUUUACUAUAUUUACUUCCUUGUAAUUGGUACGUUCUGAUUAAGAUUUUCAGCAAUCACAAACAAUGAGUUUACUUAAUACCUUUACUUGCAUGUCUUCCUACUGCUUGUGUUUAGUUCAGUGUUUACUUUAGCAUGCUAUAAUUUCCUCUUAUUAUGAAUCCCAAACACCCUACCCCCAAUGUGCUUGAUGUCAAUGGUUUGUUUGAGACAUUGCAGUAUUGAGUAUUAUUGCCUAGGGCUCAAACUUGAUUCCCCUGGAAUCAUAACCUCUAUGUCACCAUCAUAUGUUGUGUAUUCUUGUUGAUUCUAUAAGCAUGACAACAUUAUCUGUUAUCGUGCAUGCCCAGAAUUGACUAAUGCCUAAGCACAUAGGCUCUUUGGCAAUUUCCCCAAUCCCUGAACCCUUUGUUUGACUUGUUUAUUGAUGUUUCCUAGCACUUAUCCUCCCCCCUUAUUUACUUUAUUAGUUCCUUAAAAUUUUGUUUCUACAUUUGCGCUCUCUCUUAGACUUUAAGUUCUGCCCUCCUCUUGUGAGCCUUGCCUUGGCACCCCUGGAGCUCCCUCCAAACUUGGACACUUGAAGGCUGGCCCUUCCACUUUGCACUUGUUCUUAUCCUGGUGAUACAAUUUGGGUGUGAGCACUGCCCGGAGUCCCAUCGAGGCUCUUAGGGAACUCUGACGCACUUAAAUUGGAGAAAGGUUUUGGAUCAGUGAUAUCAGAGUUGGUCUGUCUCAUAAUUCAGACAAAAAGUCAGAAUCAGGCUUCCUUUGGUUGUAUUUUCUUUAUACUUUUGAUGUAAUUUAUUAUUUUUGGUUUGUAAUAAGUUGUAAUGAACAUUUAGGGCUGCCUAGUGAAAAGGGUGAGUGACUAUGCAAGCGAAAGGGUAGAAAUCAUGCCUAUAGGUCUAUUACAAAUUAUGCAUGUUCAAAUACAUAUAGAAAUCAUGCCUAGAAGUCUAUUACAAAUUCUGCAUGUUCAAAUACAUAUAGAGGUCAUGCCUAUAGGUCUAUUACAAUUCUGUAUAUUCAAAAUACAUAUAGAGAUCAUGCCUAUAAGUUUAUUACAUUCUGCAUAUUCAAAAACCUGUAGAAAUCAUGCCUAAAGGUUGUUCCAAUUCUGCACAUUCAAAUACCUAUAGAAAUUAUGCCUAUAGGUUAUUCUAAUUUUGCACAUUCAAAUACCUAUAGAGUCAUGCCUAUAGGUUGUUCUAAUUCUGCAUAUAUAGAAAUCAUGUUCAU